UGGGGAAUAUUGCGCAAUGGGCGAAAGCCUGACGCAGCGACGCCGCGUGAGGGAUGAAGGUUUUCGGAUUGUAAACCUCUGUCAGAAGGGAAGAAACCGCACUGUGCUAAUCAGCAGUGCCUUGACGGUACCUUCAAAGGAAGCACCGGCUAACUCCGUGCCAGCAGCCGCGGUAAUACGGAGGGUGCAAGCGUUAAUCGGAAUUACUGGGCGUAAAGCGCACGUAGGCUGCUUUGUAAGUCAGGGGUGAAAUCCCACGGCUCAACCGUGGAACUGCCUUUGAUACUGCUUAGCUUGAAUCCGGGAGAGGGUGGCGGAAUUCCAGGUGUAGGGGUGAAAUCCGUAGAUAUCUGGAGGAACAUCAGUGGCGAAGGCGGCCACCUGGACCGGUAUUGACGCUGAGGUGCGAAAGCGUGGGGAGCAAACAGG
rnacentral:rRNA from 1 species